AUUGAACGCUGGCGGCAGGCCUAACACAUGCAAGUCGAACGGUAACAGGAAGCAGCUUGCUGCUUCGCUGACGAGUGGCGGACGGGUGAGUAAUGUCUGGGAAACUGCCUGAUGGAGGGGGAUAACUACUGGAAACGGUAGCUAAUACCGCAUAACGUCGCAAGACCAAAGAGGGGGACCUUAGGGCCUCUUGCCAUCGGAUGUGCCCAGAUGGGAUUAGCUAGUAGGUGGGGUAACGGCUCACCUAGGCGACGAUCCCUAGCUGGUCUGAGAGGAUGCCCAGCCACACUGAAACUGAGACACGGUCCAGACUCCUACGGGAGGCAGCAGUGGGGAAUAUGGCACAAUGGGCGCAAGCCUGAUGCAGCCAUGCCGCGUGUAUGAAGAAGGCCUUCGGGUUGUAAAGUACUUUCAGCGGGGAGGAAGGGAGUAAAGUUAAUACCUUUGCUCAUUGACGUUACCCGCAGAAGAAGCGCCGGCUAACUCCG
rnacentral:rRNA from 1 species